UAAAGUACUCCAUCAUGUCGGGGUGGGGGGAGUACCUAUACAAAUCACGUAUUAGCUCAAUAAUAAACGUUGUGUUUGCAUGGUUCUGUGUUAAUUGUACUAAUAACCAGAAUGUGUUUUUAUGGAGAUGGGAAGGUUUAUUUCGUCCGUAACAGAGGGGGAAGAAUAUUAUCGACGCACACCGUCUACAGCUAGCUAUCCGGAGACGAGCUAGCUAACACACUAGCUAACAAAAAACUCUGCUUUUCAACUUUUAACGUCAUGGGAGAAAAACCGUUGAAGAUCCUCGCAUGUGGUGACGUGGAAGGAAACAUUAAUGCUGUGUUUAACCGCGUCCGAACCGUCCAGAAGAAGAGCGGCCAGUUUGAUCUGUUGCUCUGUGUAGGAAACUUCUUCGGUUCCUCUCCAGAAGCUCAGGCUGAAUGGCAGGAGUACAAAUCUGGAGCAAAGAAAGCUCCCAUCCACACCUACAUCCUGGGAGCAGCCAGCCAGGAAACCACCCGCUUCUUCCCCAGUGCUGACGGCUGUGAGCUGGCUGACAACAUCACCUACCUGGGUCGUCGAGGUGUUUUCUCCGGGGCGUCAGGCCUGCAGAUAGCGUAUGUGAGUGGUCGUGAAGGACGUCUGGACCCGACUCCAGCUCACUGCUUCUCUCCUGAAGACCUCCAUCAGCUGGUGGAGCCGCUGAUCAACAACAACCAGUUCAGAGGAGUGGACAUCCUGCUGACGUCACAGUGGCCCCGCGGAGUCUGGCAGUACGCCAACAGCCCCGAAGUGAACACUAAGUUGUGUGGAACGAGCUCCAUCUCCCAGCUGGCCUACAAGCUGAAGCCCCGAUACCACUUCGCUGCUGUAGAGGGAGUUCACUAUGAGAGACGACCUUACAGAAAUCAUGUUGUUCUUCAGGAGAACACUCAGCACGUCAGCAGAUUCAUCGCCCUGGCAACCGUCAACAACCCAGAGAAGAGAAAGUACCUGUAUGCCUUCAACAUUAUCCCGAUGAAAAGCAUGGAGUCAUCAGAACUGGUGAAACAGCCUCAGGAUGUCACUGAAAACCCUUACAGGAAGAUGGUUGGAGAGAAUACUCUAUCAGACCCUACUGUCCAGGAGCCUGCAUCUCAGUUCUUCUUUGACCUGGGGAAGAAGCAGCGUGGGGGGGGCCGUGGCAGGAAGAGGCCCUCAGACGGAGACGGGCAGAAUCAAGGACAGCCGUGGGAUCCAGACAGGCAGAGUCAGAGACCGCCCUUUGAUCUAGACGGGCCUAAACAACCUCGCAGGCCGCCCCAGCCCAGCGGUCCCUGUUGGUUCUGUCUGGCCAGCCCUCAGGUAGAGAAACACCUGGUCAUCAGCAUUGGUACCCAUUGUUACCUGGCUCUAGCUAAGGGCAGUCUGACCCCUCAGCAUGUGUUGGUACUGCCCAUCGGUCACUACCAGUCAGUAGUGGAACUGAGCUCUGAGGUGGUUAAAGAACUGGACCGAUACAAGAUGGCUGUCAGGACCUUCUAUAAGAGCAAAGGACAGCGCUGUGUUCUGUUUGAGAGGAACUACCACAGCCAACACCUGCAGAUACAGGCAGUACCGGUGCCGGAGGAUAAAUGUACCACUGAAGAUAUUAAAGAAGCCUUCAUGCUGCAGGCGCAGGAUCAGAACAUGCAGCUGAUGGAGAUACCAGAGCAUACAGACCUGGAACAGAUUGCUCCUCCAGGGACACCGUACUUCUACGUGGAGCUGGACUCUGGAGAGAAGCUCUUCUACCGCAUUCAGAGAAACUUCCCUCUGCAGUUUGGCAGGGAGGUGUUGGCCAGCGAGUCGGUCCUGAACAUCCCAGAGAGGGCGGACUGGAGAGGGUGUAAACAGACCCCAGAGGAAGAGGAGAGUCUGAGCAAACAGCUACGAGACGACUUCCAACCAUACGACUUCGCUCUGGAAGACUGAACACCUUCACACACACUGUACCGUACAGUAGGGGUGUAAUGGUAUUCACACUACCGUACAGUAGGGGUGUAAUGGUAUUCAUACUGAACCAUACAUUGUACCGUACAGUAGGGGUGUAAUGGUAUUCACACUGAACCAUACAUUGUACCGUACAGUAGGGGUGUAAUGGUAUUCACACUACCGUACAGUAGGGGUGGAAUGGUAUUCACACUGAACCAUACAUUGUACCGUACAGUAGGGGUGUAAUGAUAUUCACACUGAACCGUACACUGUACCGUACAGUAGGGGUGUAAUGGUAUUCACACUGAACCGUACACUGUACCGUACAGUAGGGGUGUAAUGGUAUUCACACUGAACCAUACACUGUACCGUACAGUAGGGGUGUGAUAGUAUUCAAUCUGAACCAUACAUUGUACCGUACAGUAGGGGUGUAAUGGUAUUCACACUACCGUACAGUAGGGGUGUAAUGGUAUUCACACUGAACCAUACAUUGUACCGUACAGUAGGGGUGUAAUGGUAUUCAUACUGAA